rnacentral:tRNA from 1 species
GCCCCGAUAGUAUAACCUAUUACACUGGUCUUGUAAGCCAGAAAUGAGAUUCACUAACCUCUCUCAGGGU